GCUGGGUAUGGUAGCAUAUGCCUGUAAUUCCAGUGGCUCAGGAAGCUGAAGCAGGAGGAUCACAAGUACAAAUACAGCCUCAGCAAUUUAGUGAGACCCUGUCUCAU
rnacentral:sRNA from 1 species